rnacentral:rRNA from 1 species
CGCGGCCUAUCAGCUUGUUGGUGGGGUAACGGCCUACCAAGGCAUCGACGGGUAGCUGGUCUGAGAGGACGAUCAGCCACACUGGGACUGAGACACGGCCCAGACUCCUACGGGAGGCAGCAGUGGGGAAUAUUGCGCAAUGGGCGAAAGCCUGACGCAGCAACGCCGCGUGCGGGAAGAAGGCCCUAGGGUUGUAAACCGCUUUCGACAGGGACGAAAAUGACGGUACCUGUAGAAGAAGGUCCGGCCAACUACGUGCCAGCAGCCGCGGUAACACGUAGGGACUGAGCGUUGUCCGGAUUUAUUGGGCGUAAAGAGCUCGUAGGCGGCUAAGUAAGUCGGCUGUGAAAGCUCCAGGCUCAACCUGGAGAGGCCAGUCGAUACUGCUUUGGCUAGAGUCCGGUAGGGGAGCGUGGAAUUCCUGGUGUAGCGGUGGAAUGCGCAGAUAUCAGGAGGAACACCAGCGGCGAAGGCGGCGCUCUGGGCCGGAACUGACGCUGAGGAGCGAAAGCAUGGGUAGCAAACAGGAUUAGAUACCCUGGUAGUCCAUGCCGUAAACGCUGGGCACUAGGUGUGGGGCCUUUUCAACGGGUUCCGUGCCGCAGCUAACGCAUUAAGUGCCCCGCCUGGGGAGUACGG